rnacentral:rRNA from 1 species
UACGUAGGUGGCAAGCGUUGUCCGGAAUUACUGGGUGUAAAGGGAGCGUAGGCGGGAAGGCAAGUCAGAUGUGAAAUCCACAGGCUUAACUUGUGACGUGCAUUUGAAACUGUUUUUCUUGAGUGAAGUAGAGGCAGGCGGAAUUCCGAGUGUAGCGGUGAAAUGCGUAGAUAUUCGGAGGAACACCAGUGGCGAAGGCGGCCUGCUGGGCUUUUACUGACGCUGAGGCUCGAAAGCAUGGGUAGCAAAC